rnacentral:rRNA from 1 species
GACGAACGCUGGCGGCGUGCCCAAUACAUGCAAGUAGAACGCUGAAGGAGGAGCUUGCUUCUCUGGAUGAGUUGCGAACGGGUGAGUAACGCGUAGGUAACCUGCCUGGUAGCGGGGGAUAACUAUUGGAAACGAUAGCUAAUACCGCAUAAUAGUAGAUGUUGCAUGACAUUUGCUUAAAAGGUGCAAUUGCAUCACUACCAGAUGGACCUGCGUUGUAUUAGCUAGUUGGUGGGGUAACGGCUCACCAAGGCGACGAUACAUAGCCGACCUGAGAGGGUGAUCGGCCACACUGGGACUGAGACACGGCCCAGACUCCUACGGGAGGCAGCAGUAGGGAAUCUUCGGCAAUGGACGGAAGUCUGACCGAGCAACGCCGCGUGAGUGAAGAAGGUUUUCGGAUCGUAAAGCUCUGUUGUAAGAGAAGAACGAGUGUGAGAGUGGAAAGUUCACACUGUGACGGUAUCUUACCAGAAAGGGACGGCUAACUACGUG